ACAUGCGCAGUUCAUAUGUUUGUAGUACAGCGAACAAUCCUCUGCACUGCCUCGGCGCACCCCCCAGCACAGCAGGGAAAGCACUGAUGUUUAGAGGUACAAUUGGACAGAAAGAAGGACUUUUUUAUUGAGCUGAAAUUAACCACAUAUACUCAGAAAAGGAUGCUCCUUAUUUUGCAACUGGAAAGGAGCUGGAAGAAGGUCCUUCGAAAUAUGUCCUCAGGAAGCAUUGCCUUCUUUUCCUUUUUCAGUCAAAAAAUAAAAUGCUCUUACUGAGCUGAAAUUAAGCAAAUAAUACUCAGUAAGAAAUAAUACUCUUUAUUAACACCAAGAGGUGGAAUGGUACAGGAAAAACAAC